rnacentral:sRNA from 1 species
UUUUUUUCUUCUUCUUCCCU